CCCUUAGAUGUCCUGGGCCGCACGCGCGCUACACUGAUGCAUUCAACGAGUUUUACCUUGGCCGAGAGGCCUGGGCAAUCUUUUAAACCUGCAUCGUGAUAGGGAUAGAUUAUUGCAAUUAUUAAUCUUGAACGAGGAAUUCCUAGUAAACGCAAAUCAUCAAUUUGCAUUGAUUACGUCCCUGCCCUUUGUACACACCGCCCGUCGCACCUACCGAUUGGAUGGUCCGGUGAAGCCUCGGGAUUGUGGUUCUUGCCGCUUUAUUGUAGCGUGACCGCGAGAACUUGUCUAAACCUUAUCAUCUAGAGGAAGGUGAAGUCGUAACA
rnacentral:rRNA from 1 species